CUACGGGGUGCAGCAGUGAGGAAUAUUGCACAAUGGGGGGAACCCUGAUGCAGCAACGCCGCGUGGAGGAUGACGCAUUUCGGUGUGUAAACUCCUUUUAUAUGUCAAGAAAAUGACGGUAGCAUAUGAAUAAGCGCCGGCUAACUCCGUGCCAGCUGCCGCGGUAAUACGGAGGGCGCAAGCGUUACUCGGAAUCACUGGGCGUAAAGGACGCGUAGGCGGGUGGGAAAGUCAGGUGUGAAAUCCUACAGCUUAACUGUAGAACUGCACUUGAAACUUCUAAUAUAGAGUAUGGAGGGGGAGAUGGAAUUAGUGGUGUAGGGGUAAAAUCCGUAGAUAUCACUAGGAAUACCUAAAGCGAAGGCGAUCUCCUGGAACAUUACUGACGCUAAGGCGUGAAAGCGUGGGGAGCAAACAGGAUUAGAUACCCGCGUAGUC
rnacentral:rRNA from 1 species